UUAAAGACUGUGAAUUUGUGUGCACUGCAACACACACGUUUUUGAUGAUUUUCAGAGGCUGAAACAGAGGCCUGCAGAAAGGGAAUGAGGGAGCAAGAGAGAGACAGGCAGGCAGACAGACAGGUAGAGAUUGAACUAAUGAAUAUGAGAAUGAGAAUGAACAAGAACAAACAGACAAAAACAUGGACGAUGGAAGAUUCUGGGAAAAGGUUAUAAGGAACCAGACAUGCAAAGGAUUCAGGGAGGAAUGUUAACAGAGGAAACAGCAAGAUUAAAGCACUUGAGUCAAGAGUCACGUGGUGAAUUCUGGUAUAUUGCAAAUAGUAGUUAUGGCUGAAGUGCAGUGUUUGAGUGUGGCAUAAGACAAAAUUGAAUACUGGGAUCAUACAUGGUCUUACAGGUAGUGGGGAGGUACUGCAUGAUUUAAAGCAGUGCAGGAAGAGUCGAUUAUUUAAAUUUUCUAUGCUAAUGAUCUCUGAAAAAUAUAUGCA
rnacentral:lncRNA from 10 species